GGUGAUCGGCCACACUGGGACUGAGACACGGCCCAGACUCCUACGGGAGGCAGCAGUAGGGAAUCUUCGGCAAUGGACGGAAGUCUGACCGAGCAACGCCGCGUGAGUGAAGAAGGUUUUCGGAUCGUAAAGCUCUGUUGUAAGAGAAGAACGAGUGUGAGAGUGGAAAGUUCACACUGUGACGGUAUCUUACCAGAAAGGGACGGCUAACUACGUGCCAGCAGCCGCGGUAAUACGUAGGUCCCGAGCGUUGUCCGGAUUUAUUGGGCGUAAAGCGAGCGCAGGCGGUUAGAUAAGUCUGAAGUUAAAGGCUGUGGCUUAACCAUAGUACGCUCUGGAACUGUUUAACUUGAGUGCAAGAGGGGAGAGUGGAAUUCCAUGUGUAGCGGUGAAAUGCGUAGAUAUAUGGAGGAACACCGGUGGCGAAAGCGGCUCUCUGGUUUGUAACUGACGCUGAG
rnacentral:rRNA from 1 species